ACCACAUAUUGAAGGCAUGUUGAGUGGGCUAUGGCAUCACUAGGAGGUUGUAGAAACAUUAAGGGGUGAAGCUUAUAGAAGGAAGUUAGAUUGUAUGGCCUGUGUCCUGGAAGGGAAUUUGGCAGCCUGACUUCUGCUUUUCUUGUUCUUUGCAUUCUCCUGCUGUGAGGUGAGCUGGCAUCCUAUGCAGUACACAGCAUAAAUCUAAAACUACAGAGGGCAAGUGACUAUGGACUGAAACUUCUAAGGCCAUGAGCCAAAAUCAAUAUUUCCUCUUUUAAGUUAUCAUCACAGGUAUUAUGGCACAAUAACAGAACUCUAACUCAGCAAAAAAAAAAAAAAAAAAAAAAAAAAAAAAAAAAAAAAGCCUAUAUUUCAGAUAUUUGGUACUGACUGCAUACUAAGUAUUGUAUUCAAAUCCAAGUGCGUAUUUGAACCUAACAACUAUUUAAUCUGACAAGAAGACUAAAUCUUUACUGAAAGGGCAACUUAGUCAUGACUUCUGAAUGCUAAUCAUGUGCUGAGUUCCGGUAGCCACCACAACCUGGACUCUGAGAUGAAUAUGGCCUAAGUCCUACUUUAAAGAGCUGAGGUAAAUUGUAAAGUAAACCAGUGUGUUUUCUAGCACUAUAGAAGGUUCUAACAUCUCCCCUCCUUAUAGUAAUCUUAAACUCCAGUUCUUUUGUAUGUUGAUGCUUUUCUACUCCUAGUUCCCAUCUUCCCCCUUUCCUAACUUAUCAGCUUUUGGGGGAUAGUGAGAAAUUGAUGCUGUUGUUCAGAACCUAUUAACUCUUGGUUUAAAAUAUUAAUCAAGCAAAUAUGUUUAAAAUUGGUGAUGCUUUAGUGAUUCGGGAGUAAGUAGAACAUUUCUUCUGCCUUCAGGAAGCAACCAGAGGAUCAUGUACUACAAUGCCACUCCAAGUAUGUCAUGUUGUACCUUCAGGUUUACAAAGGGGAAUCUUUUCUCUGAACUGUUUCUCUAAAACAGCUGUGCUUUCUCUUGCCUUUAAAUAAACUCACAUUGCUG
rnacentral:lncRNA from 1 species